ACUAGGGAUCGGGCGAUGUUAUCUUUUUGACUCGCUCGGCACCUUACGAGAAAUCNAAGUCUUUGGGUUCUGGGGGGAGUAUGGUCGCAAGGCUGAAACUUAAAGAAAUUGACGGAAGGGCACCACCAGGAGUGGAGCCUGCGGCUUAAUUUGACUCAACACGGGGAAACUCACCAGGUCCAGACACAAUAAGGAUUGACAGAUUGAGAGCUCUUUCUUGAUUUUGUGG
rnacentral:rRNA from 1 species